AAAUAAUUACUGUUGAUCUUAAAGUAAUUCCUUAUUUUAAGAAGACAAAUGUUAAUCUUAAUACAUGUUUUUCAGAUUUGUCGCACUGAAUAUCAAUUAAUUAAAUCGUGAUAUAAUUUGACAGACAGAAAACCGUUCAAUCUGUCUGCUUUUACUUUGGUGAAAACACAAUUUUCCAAUAACAAAAAUAGAAAGAAAUUCAUUGAAGAAAAACGUAAAUAAAUAAAUGAUAUAAGGAGUGAAAGGGGAUUCAAAUGGUGUAAUUACAUACUUAUAACUGAGGCUACUCAUGUGUUGAUUGUACAGCAUGUUAAAGUUUGUAUAAACUUGCAAGAAAUAUUUGUUUUUAUUUGAAAGGAAUGCUUUGUCAGUUUUGCUAUCCGGUCGUUCGUGGUCGUUUUAUUUUGACAUCCCUACCGGAAGUCCCGCACACGUGGGUUCCGUUAACUUGACACCGGUCUGCGUUGAUAACAGAGGCACCGAUUCCUCUGGAAAUACCGGCCACAUUUGGCAUUUUCCAGCCGGUAAACCGCGUAUAAUGAGACCCAAUAGGAUUUAACGGAGACUAACGGACCCACGGGGCGUGGAGAAGGUAUUUUAAAUCAUGCUAACGCGCCCGCUGCUGACCCUGAACGAGACUGACGACAGGAGGCGUGGCCUGAUGGCUGUGAGCCCGCCCCCUGCUCUCCCAUUGGCUGAUGAGGGUGAUGAAGACACACAAAAGAAAGUGUUCUCUCCUCUCGUUCCUCCAUGGAGCUCCUCCUCCUCCUCCUCCUCACCUUCCUCACCUCCUCCCUGUGCCCUCUUUUUAUCCUUGGCUCCUUCUCUAACUCCUUCUCCCUCCUCCUCCUCUCCUUCAUCUCUCACUUCUCUUCCUUCUCUCUCAUCUACAACUUGUUCCUCUCCUCCUCCCGUGUCCCUCCUUGUGCCUCCUUUAUCUUCUGUCUCUCCUUCUCUUCUUUCCUCCUCUCGUCCUCCUUCUACAUCUUCCUCUCCUCUUGCGCCUCCAUCCCUCCUCCCCCUGACUCCUGUAGCUCCUUUUGUUUUUAAUUUUCCUCCUUUUUAUUCCUCCUCUACUCCCCCUCUUUCUUUUUCUCCUCCUUCCUCCCAUUUGUCUUCUCGUUCUUCAUACCUCCUUCCUUCAGCUUGUCCCUAUCGUUCUCCUCCUUGUUAUCCUGCUCCUCCUCCCCACUCUUCUUCUCAUGUUUCUCCUCCUUCUUCUACUCAUGUUUCUCCUCCUUCUUGCUCUCCUCCAGUUUCUCCUCUUUCUGUCCCUCCAUCCCUUCCUUCCUGUCCUCCUCCUCCUCCCUGCUGCCCUUGCUUCUCCCUCCUGCCCCGCCUCCUCUCAGCUCACCGGCGGGAGGUGCGGCGCCUCCUGCGAGGAGCUCUGUCGUCCCUCGGCCGUCGCCUGGACUCUCUGGAGAGGAGCAGCAGGAUGAAGAGGAGAAGGAGGAAGAGGGGCGGGCAUAAAGGAGAAGGGGGAGGAGCCUGUUCUCCUGGCCCCGCCCCCUCGUGUAGCCCCGCCCACCGUCCCUCUGCUACCACCCCAUCUUCAUCCGACAGCGAGGACUCAACCACACCUCCGCUUUCCUUUAAUUUGAGCCAGUCAGAACAGAAGAGGAGGAGGAGGAGGAGGGAGGAAAAGAAGGAGGAGGAGGAGGGGGGGCGGUUAAGAAAAAGGAGGAAGAACCACAGAGGAAGAGAUGUUACGAUUCAUACAGAAAACAGAGAAGAGGAGGAUGCUGGGAGAUUUGUGGGGCGGAUGGCCGUCUCCUUCAGAAAAGGAGCAGAGGAGGAGGCGCCGCUCACGCUGCACAGAUUCAACCACAGAAAACACAGAAGGACAGGAGGGGAAGGAGCCAGCCAAUCAGAGAAGGCCGUCAGUGUCGUCAGACAGAAUGGAUUCAGCUCCUCUUCCCAUCAUGCAUUGCACCUCCUGCAGACUGCUGCUGGUUGGACCGGCAGCCAAUCAGAAGCACUCAACAUCUCUUCAGGCCAAUGGCGCUUCUCUGACUUCACCUCUCCUCCCUCCCUCUCCUCCAAUCACGGUGCUUUCCACAUAUGGCACCUUUGUUCCUCUUCCUCCUUCUUUAGCUCCGCCCCCAUGCUGCGGCUGUCAGCCGUUGCCGUGGAGACAAUGUCAAAUUCAGUGAGGGGCGGAGCUAUUGGGAGUCCCCUGCGGUGCCUGAAGGACCUGACGGUGCCGCCCAGUCUGAGCAGCGACCACUGGUUGGUUGACUUUACUCCUCAUGAAUAUUCGUGAGGACAUUGGCCCAUUUGUAUUUACAUGUUUUAAUUUGUAACUGAAUAUUUUCACAAUAUAUAUAAAUGUUACUUUAUAAUUCAUAAUCUUAACUUUUAGAAAUAUUUUUAAAUAGAUUAUUUAAUUGUCAUCUUUAUAGUAAUUGACUCUGUCGCCAUCUUGGAUUACGACCUCUGCCACGUUGUUUUUAUCAACCAGUGAACAGGAAGUGACCAUAUCUGGAGUCGCCCCCUGGUGGUCAGGAGAGAGAAUGCAGCUACAACACAUGAAGCAUAGACUUCUAUACAACCAGAGGAGUCGCCCCCUGAUGGUCAGGAGAGAGAAUGCAGCUUUAACACAUGAAGCAUAGACUUCUGUACAACCAGAGGAGUCGCCCCCUGGUGGUCAGGAGAGAGAAUGCAGCUACAACACAUGAAGCAUAGACUUCUAUACAACCAGAGGAGUCGCCCCCUGGUGGUCAGGAGAGAGAAUGCAGCUACAACACAUGAAGCAUAGACUUCUAUACAACCAGAUGAGUCGCCCCCUGGUGGUCAGGAGAGAGAAUGCAGCUUUCACUUCCUCUUCACUCGUUGAAAAAUAAAAGAUGGCGAUGGCUAAGUUGUCGUGAGACGUCACAACUUCGUCUUCUCCACAUUCGACGUAUUCUACUGACAUCACGACAUUCAUGAAUAUAAAAUGUAAACGUUUUGUCUUUGCAGUUACGUGCGAACGCCUACGCCAAGGUAAUUCAACAAAUACAAUACGAUGUUUAUACGAUCUUAGUCUUUGUACUUUAAUGUAUGUCAUUAAAGCUAAUCUGAGGGGAAAAUAUUUAAAAAUAAAAUGUUGUGUUUGUGCCCUAAAGAGAAGAAAUGUUUUCUGUCUUUAAGCCCAACUUUUUCUGCCCGACGACGGCAAAAACAGCGGGCCAAUCACAACACCCGCAGCCUCCUCCUCCCCCCGCGAUGGCCCCUCCCCCUCCCACUCCCACUAUGUUCAGCCAAUGGGCUGUCUGCUGCUCCGCUUGCCAUCGGCCAAUCAGAAGCAACCUCUGAGUUUCUGAGCACAAAUGGAGAGCGCUGUAAACGAGUGUCACAGAUACGAAUCCGCCGGACGUCGC